rnacentral:tRNA from 1 species
AAGAUUUUAAGUUAAUUUUAAACUCGUAGCCUUCAAAGUUAUUAAUACUAUUCAAAGUAAAUCUUA